rnacentral:rRNA from 1 species
UACGUAGGGUGCAAGCGUUAAUCGGAAUUACUGGGCGUAAAGCGUGCGCAGGCGGUUUUGUAAGUCUGUCGUGAAAUCCCCGGGCUCAACCUGGGAAUUGCGAUGGAGACUGCAAGGCUAGAAUCUGGCAGAGGGGGGUAGAAUUCCACGUGUAGCAGUGAAAUGCGUAGAGAUGUGGAGGAACACCGAUGGCGAAGGCAGCCCCCUGGGUCAAGAUUGACGCUCAUGCACGAAAGGCGUGGGGAGCAAACAGGAUUACGAA